GAUGAACGCUGGCGGCGUGCCUAAUACAUGCAAGUCGAGCGAACGGACGAGAAGCUUGCUUCUCUGAUGUUAGCGGCGGACGGGUGAGUAACACGUGGAUAACCUACCUAUAAGACUGGGAUAACUUCGGGACACCGGAGCUAAUACCGGAUAAUAUUUUGAACCGCAUGGUUCAAAAGUGAAAGACGGUCUUGCUGUCACUUAUAGAUGGAUCCCCGCUGCAUUAGCUAGUUGGUAAGGUAACGGCUUACCAAGGCAACGAUGCAUAGCCGACCUGAGAGAGUGAUCGCCCACCCUGGAACGGAGCCACGGUCCAUACUCCUACGGGAGGCAGCAGUAGGGAAUCUGCCGCAAUGGGCGAAAGUCUUACGGAGCAACGCCGCGUGAGUGAUGAAGGUCUUCGGAUCGUAAAACUCUGUUAUUAGGGAAGAACAUAUGUGUAAGGAACUGUGCACAUCUUGACGGUACCUAAUCAGAAAGCCACGGCUAACUACGUG
rnacentral:rRNA from 1 species